rnacentral:snoRNA from 2 species
AUUUGGUAGUGAUGAUUAAAAUUAACAGCUAUACGCCAGUUCUGCUUCAGAAAUUCUUGAUUGAAGAAGCUGUAUAAAAUCUGAGCCCCUU